rnacentral:rRNA from 1 species
GACGUACUUGUACUGAUUGAGAUUUUAACACGAAGUGAGUGGCGAACGGGUGAGUAACACGUGGGUAACCUGCCCAGAAGUAGGGGAUAACACCUGGAAACAGAUGCUAAUACCGUAUAACAGAGAAAACCGCAGGGUUUUCUUUUAAAAGAUGGCUCUGCUAUCACUUCUGGAUGGACCCGCGGCGUAUUAGCUAGUUGGUGAGGUAAAGGCUCACCAAGGCAGUGAUACGUAGCCGACCUGAGAGGGUAAUCGGCCACAUUGGGACUGAGACACGGCCCAGACUCCUACGGGAGGCAGCAGUAGGGAAUCUUCCACAAUGGACGCAAGUCUGAUGGAGCAACGCCGCGUGAGUGAAGAAGGGUUUCGGCUCGUAAAGCUCUGUUGUUAAAGAAGAACGUGGGUAAGAGUAACUGUUUACCCAGUGACGGUAUUUAACCAGAAAGCCACGGCUAACUACGUGCCAGCAGCCGCGGUAAUACGUAGGUGGCAAGCGUUAUCCGGAUUUAUUGGGCGUAAAGCGAGCGCAGGCGGUCUUUAAAGUCUAAUGUGAAAGCCUUCGGCUCAACCGAAGAAGUGCAUUGGAAACUGGGAGACUUGAGUGCAGAAGAGGACAGUGGAACUCCAUGUGUAGCGGUGAAU